rnacentral:rRNA from 1 species
CACGUAGGGGGCAAGCGUUGUCCGGAUUUAUUGGGCGUAAAGAGCUCGUAGGUGGUUCGGUAAGUCAGGUGUGAAACCUCCAGGCUCAACCUGGAGACGCCACUUGAUACUGCUGUGACUGGAGUCCGGUAGGGGAGCGUGGAAUUCCUGGUGUAGCGGUGAAAUGCGCAGAUAUCAGGAGGAACACCGGUGGCGAAGGCGGGUCUCUGGGCAGUUACUGACGCUGAGGAGCGAAAGCGUGGGGAGCGAACAGG